ACACAUGCAGUCGAGGGGUAGAAGGAGCUUGCUCCUUUGAGACCGGCGCACGGGUGCGUAACGCGUAUGCAAUCUACCUUGUACAGGGGAAUAGCCCAGAGAAAUUUGGAUUAAUGCCCCAUAGUAUAUAACCUUCGCAUGUUGGUUAUAUUAAAGUUCCAACGGUACAAGAUGAGCAUGCGUCCCAUUAGUUAGUUGGUAAGGUAACGGCUUACCAAGACGAUGAUGGGUAGGGGUCCUGAGAGGGAGAUCCCCCACACUGGUACUGAGACACGGACCAGACUCCUACGGGAGGCAGCAGUGAGGAAUAUUGGUCAAUGGUCGCAAGACUGAACCAGCCAUGCCGCGUGCAGGAAGACGGUCCUAUGGAUUGUAAACUGCUUUUAUACAGGAAGAAACCCUCCCACGUGUGGGAGCUUGACGGUACUGUAGGAAUAAGGAUCGGCUAACUCCGUGCCAGCAGCCGCGGUAAUACGGAGGAUCCAAGCGUUAUCCGGAAUCAUUGGGUUUAAAGGGUCCGUAGGCGGUCUUAUAAGUCAGUGGUGAAAGCCCAUCGCUCAACGAUGGAACUGCCAUUGAUACUGUAAGACUUGAAUGCUUAGGAAGUAACUAGAAUAUGUAGUGUAGCGGUGAAAUGCUUAGAUAUUACAUGGAAUACCAAUUGCGAAGGCAGGUUACUACUAAGUGAUUGACGCUGAUGGACGAAAGCGUGGGGAGCGA
rnacentral:rRNA from 2 species